rnacentral:rRNA from 1 species
CGAGGGGGGCAAGUGUUGUUCGGAAUCACUGGGCGUAAAGGGAGCGUAGGCGGAUGUUUAAGUUGGAUGUUUAAAACCGAGGCCUAACCUCGGAGCGGCAUCCAGAACUGGGCAUCUUGAAUAGGUCAGAGGCUGGUGGAAUUGGAGGUGUAGCGGUGGAAUGCGUAGAGAUCUCCAAGAACACCUAUUGCGAAGGCAGCCAGCUGGGACCAUAUUGACGCUGAGGCUCGAAAGCAUGGGGAGCAAACAGGAUUAGAUACCCUGGUAGUCCAUGCCGUAAACGAUGAACACUAGGUUUUGGGCUCGUCAACGGUCCAGAGCCGCAGCUAACGCGUUAAGUGUUCCGCCUGGGGAAUACGGUCGCAAGACUG